AGAGUUUGAUCAUGGCUCAGAUUGAACGCUGGCGGCAUGCCUUACACAUGCAAGUCGAACGGCAGCACGGGAGCAAUCCUGGUGGCGAGUGGCGAACGGGUGAGUAAUGUAUCGGAACGUACCUUUCAGUGGGGGAUAACGUAGCGAAAGUUACGCUAAUACCGCAUAUUCUGUGAGCAGGAAAGCAGGGGAUCGCAAGACCUUGCGCUGAUUGAGCGGCCGAUAUCAGAUUAGCUAGUUGGUGAGGUAAAGGCUCACCAAGGCGACGAUCUGUAGCGGGUCUGAGAGGAUGAUCCGCCACACUGGAACUGAGACACGGUCCAGACUCCUACGGGAGGUAGCAGUGGGGAAUUUUGGACAAUGGGGGCAACCCUGAUCCAGCCAUGCCGCGUGAGUGAAGAAGGCCUUCGGGUUGUAAAGCUCUUUCAGCCGGGAAGAAAACGCAUGGGUUAAUACCCUGUGUGGAUGACGGUACCGGAAUAAGAAGCACCGGCUAACUACGUGCCAGCAGCCGCGGUAAUACGGAGGGUGCAAGCGUUAAUCGGAAUUACUGGGCGUAAAGCGUGCGUAGGUGGUUCGUUAAGUCAGAUGUGAAAGCCCUGGGCUCAACCUGGGAACGGCAUUUGAAACUGGCGGACUAGAGUUCAGUAGAGGGGAGUGGAAUUUCAGGUGUAGCGGUGAAAUGCGUAGAUAUCUGAAGGAACACCAGUGGCGAAGGCGACUCCCUGGACUAGAACUGACGCUGAGGUACGAAAGCGUGGGUAGCAAACAGGAUUAGAUACCCUGGUAGUCC
rnacentral:rRNA from 1 species